rnacentral:rRNA from 1 species
AUGUCUGGUUCACAGUCUGCAUCCAGCCAUCAACAGAAAACUCGCCGCUGCCGCCGCCUAUGCGCAUCGUCCUUCACCCACACUGGUCGCCUGGGAUACCGCCAUCACCAUCUGCGCAAGGACUGGGAGGUCGUGCUGGUCCGCCGCGGCGUCGAGCAUGCUAGAUCCUUCCUCUGCUGGAUCAUGGAUGUUGGGGUCGCCGACGGCGAGGGGGGCGUCCAAGAGAGCGAGGGCAGCAACAGCCAUGCCGCGGUCGCUAUCGCCGGAGAGGAACUACCCGCAUGUUGGAGGAUGCGGGAAUCACGUUAA